AANAACCCAAUCUCAGAAGGAGGAGGUAGAGACGAAAAAUAACAAUACGGGACUAUUAAUAGGCCCCGUAAUUGGAAUGAGUACAAUAUAAAUCCUUUAACGAGGAUCUAUUGGAGGGCAAGUCUGGUGCCAGCAGCCGCGGUAAUUCCAGCUCCAAUANCGUAUAUNAAAGUUGCUGCGUUUAAAAAGCUCGUAGUUGUAUCUCAGUUUAUGUCAAUUUGUCAACCAGUUAUCACUGAUUACUUUUUGACUAAACAUUGAACCGAUUUGUUUUCUGAUGCUCUUUACCGAGUGUUAUUAACGAUCGGGAUCUUUACUUUGAAAAAAUUAAAGUGCUCAAAGCAGGCAUCUCGCCUAAAUAUUCUUGCAUGGAAUAAUGGAAUAAGAUCUAGGUUCUAUUCUGUUGGUCUUUUGAACCUCAGUUAAUGAUUAAAAGGGACAGACGGGGGCAUUCGUAUUGCGGCGCUUGAGGUGAAAUUCUUGGACCGUC
rnacentral:rRNA from 1 species